rnacentral:rRNA from 1 species
AGACGUCUACAUUAGAUACCCCCCGUAGUCCCAGCCGUAAACUAUGCGCGUUAGGUGUAUCGGUGACCACGAGUCACCGAGGUGCCGAAGGGAAACCGUGAAACGUGCCGCCUGGGAAGUACGGUCGCAAGGCUGAAACUUAAAGGAAUUGGCGGGGAGCACCACAACAGGUGGAGCCUGCGGUUUAAUUGGACUCAACGCCGGGAAGCUCACCGGAUAGGACAGCAGAAUGAUUGCCGGGCUGAAGACCCUGCAUGACUAGCUG